CAAAAGCUUAUAAAGAUUCCAUGGAAAACAGGGGCAUAUGUAUAUCCUAUGGAUUAUUUGGAGGGAUUUUAUCAACUGUAGUUUCAAUAUCUGCAGGAGUUCACAUCGCAAUGUACAUUUAUUACAGGAAACGAGUGCGAAAACCUGCUGCAGUAUAUGAAGAUAUGCAGUUUAAUACGGUUGAAAGACAACGAUCAAGCAACGAGGAAACGUACAGUGAAUUGACAUGAAGAUUGUAUCAGAUAAUUGGUCAUAAAUUUACUUCAUAGUAUUUGCACUACCAAGGAACACGAAAAACAUAUGUUUUGAAUAUUUUCA